AGUGGCGGACGGGUGAGUAACAUUUAGGAAUCUGCCUAGUAGUGGGGGAUAGCUCGGGGAAACUCGAAUUAAUACCGCAUACGACCUACGGGUGAAAGGGGGCGCAAGCUCUUGCUAUUAGAUGAGCCUAAAUCAGAUUAGCUAGUUGGUGGGGUAAAGGCCCACCAAGGCGACGAUCUGUAACUGGUCUGAGAGGAUGAUCAGUCACACCGGAACUGAGACACGGUCCGGACUCCUACGGGAGGCAGCAGUGGGGAAUAUUGGACAAUGGGGGCAACCCUGAUCCAGCCAUGCCGCGUGUGUGAAGAAGGCCUUUUGGUUGUAAAGCACUUUAAGCAGGGAGGAGAGGCUAAUGGUUAAUACCCAUUAGAUUAGACGUUACCUGCAGAAUAAGCACCGGCUAACUCUGUGCCAGCAGCCGCGGUAAUACAGAGGGUGCGAGCGUUAAUCGGAAUUACUGGGCGUAAAGCGAGUGUAGGUGGCUCAUUAAGUCACAUGUGAAAUCCCCGGGCUUAACCUGGGAACUGCAUGUGAUACUGGUGGUGCUAGAAUAUGUGAGAGGGAAGUAGAAUUCCAGGUGUAGCGGUGAAAUGCGUAGAGAUCUGGAGGAAUACCGAUGGCGAAGGCAGCUUCCUGGCAUAAUAUUGACACUGAGAUUCGAAAGCGUGGGUAGCAAACAGGAUUAGAUACCCUGGUAGUCCACGCCGUAAACGAUGUCUACUAGCCGUUGGGGUCCUUGAGACUUUAGUGGCGCAGUUAACGCGAUAAGUAGACCGCCUGGGGAGUACGGCCGCAAGGUUAAAACUCAAAUGAAUUGACGGGGGCCCGCACAAGCGGUGGAGCAUGUGGUUUAAUUCGAUGCAACGCGAAGAACCUUACCUGGUCUUGACAUAGUGAGAAUCCUGCAGAGAUGCGGGAGUGCCUUCGGGAAUUCACAUACAGGUGCUGCAUGGCUGUCGUCAGCUCGUGUCGUGAGAUGUUGGGUUAAGUCCCGCAACGAGCGCAACCCUUUUCCUUAUUUGCCAGCGGGUUAAGCCGGGAACUUUAAGGAUACUGCCAGUGACAAACUGGAGGAAGGCGGGGACGACGUCAAGUCAUCAUGGCCCUUACGACCAGGGCUACACACGUGCUACAAUGGUAGGUACAGAGGGUUGCUACACAGCGAUGUGAUGCUAAUCUCAAAAAGCCUAUCGUAGUCCGGAUUGGAGUCUGCAACUCGACUCCAUGAAGUCGGAAUCGCUAGUAAUCGCAGAUCAGAAUGCUGCGGUGAAUACGUUCCCGGGCCUUGUACACACCGCCCGUCACACC
rnacentral:rRNA from 1 species